ACAUGCCCAUUAUUGUCAUGAUGAUGAUGAUGAUGAUAAUUAAGAUGACAGCAAUGAUGAAAAUCAUCAUGAUCAUCAUCGUAAUGAUUAUUAUUA
rnacentral:pre_miRNA from 1 species